rnacentral:rRNA from 1 species
AUACGUAGGGUGCAAGCGUUAAUCGGAAUUACUGGGCGUAAAGCGUGCGCAGGCGGCUAUGCAAGACUGAUGUGAAAUCCCCGGGCUCAACCUGGGAACUGCAUUAGUGACUGCAAGGCUGGAGUGCGGCAGAGGGGGAUGGAAUUCCGCGUGUAGCAGUGAAAUGCGUAGAUAUGCGGAGGAACACCGAUGGCGAAGGCAAUCCCCUGGGCCUGCACUGACGCUCAUGCACGGAAGCGUGGGGAGC